GUCACGUCGCCAUGACAUCUGUGGCAGCUCUGACGUCACCGCAUGGCCCCGCCCACUCAGGAGGUUUCCCGUCCACAGGCCGUAUCCCGGCCUGGUAGUGGUUCGUCCUGCCGGCUGUCUGGAGUUGUGUGUCCGCCAGCAUGGAGGGCUUCUCGGAGGAGCUGGUGAGCGCUCUGAAGGAGGUGGUCAGCCACAGUAACUGGCAGUGUGUCGGGGACAAGGAGAGGUUUAAAUCCCCCUGUACUAAAUUAUAUUCAGAGGAUGGAGAACAUUUAGUCCUAAUUCACACAGGUGGAAAGUUUUAUGCCAUGGAUUCAGCGUGUCCCCAUGAAGGAGGGCCUUUGGAGCAGGGAGAUAUAGAAGAGCUCUGUGAUGGACGACUGGCCCUGGCCUGUCCAUGGCAUGACUUUGAAUUUUGCUUGGAUGACGGUUCUUCUUCCUCUGGGUUACAGAACCAGGUGUAUGAGGUGAAGGUUUGCGAAGAGAAAAUUUAUAUCCAAACUCAGAAUGCAUUAUCAUUAACCCCUUGGAAGAAAAGUCAGUCCAAACAGCCAGUUAGCAGUGAAGCUACGGAGAACACACAAGUUAUAGACAAUGAAUGUUCCCUGACUUACUGGGCCAGCAAAAUCAUUUGCACUCCAGAUCCAGAAGAGAAGGCUAAACUGACUCAUCACGUACAAGAAUUAUGGAACUCAGGAAUAAUCACAGAAAUCGGAGACACAGAACCCCCUGCCCAGCCAAGCCGCAAAGAGAACCUCACCAUAGUACAGCCAGGCCGAAUCAAGAGAGGCAAAGGAGGAACACUGGCUAGCCGAAUAGCAUUGCUGCACUCCCUAGCAAAUAUCGAGCAGUGGGCAAUAGACCUGUCCUGGGACAUCAUUGCUCGCUUCGCUACUUUUCAACUGCAGACCGGUGAGAGGCUUCCGAAAGAAUUCUUUUCAGAUUUUGUGAAAGUUGCUGGAGAUGAAGCGAAGCAUUACUGUUUGCUGGAGAAGAGGCUUGUAGAGCUGGGGAGUCAUUUUGGAGAUCUUCCUGUACACAACGGCUUGUGGCAGUCUGCUUCAGAUACAGCACACGACCUCCUUGGACGGCUGGCUAUUGUGCAUAUGGUUCAUGAAGCCAGAGGUCUAGAUGUGCACCCUCAGACGCUGCAAAGAUUUGAGGCACAGCGUGAUGAAAGUUCAGCUCAGGUAUUGGAAGUUAUCUACACAGACGAGAUCACCCAUGUGGCAGCCGGCCUGAAGUGGUUCACUUACAUUUGUAAAAUGGAGCAGCGGAUAAAGUAGUGCAUAAAUUUUAUGCUGUGUGAUCCCAUCCUAAAGGGAAAUCCUAAAAAAACAAGCAAGCCAGCUUUCUAGAUGGACUGCCUAUCUACUUUCCAUGAGCUGGUACCAUUAUAUUUCAGAGGAUACCUGAAACCUCCUUUUAAUACCGAGGGCAGGCAAUCAGCAGGGAUGUCUGAAGAGUGGUAUCUUCCCUUAGUAAAACCAUCCUGAAAGAA